CAAUAGCGUAUAUUAAAGUUGUUGCGGUUAAAAAGCUCGUAGUUGGAUUUCUGCCGAGGACGACCGGUCCGCCCUCUGGGUGAGUAUCUGGCUCGGCCUGGGCAUCUUCUUGGAGAACGUAGCUGCACUUGACUGUGUGGUGCGGUAUCCAGGACUUUUACUUUGAGGAAAUUAGAGUGUUUCAAGCAGGCUUACGCCUUGAAUACAUUAGCAUGGAAUAAUAAGAUAGGACCUCGGUUCUAUUUUGUUGGUUUCUAGAGCUGAGGUAAUGAUUAAUAGGGAUAGUUGGGGGCAUUCGUAUUUAACUGUCAGAGGUGAAAUUCUUGGAUUUGUUAAAGACGGACUGCUGCGAAAGCAUUUGCCAAGGAUGUUUUCAUUGA
rnacentral:rRNA from 1 species